rnacentral:rRNA from 1 species
GGAAUAUUGGACAAUGGGGGCAACCCUGAUCCAGCCAUGCCGCGUGUGUGAAGAAGGCUUUCGGGUUGUAAAGCACUUUCAGUGGUGAGGAAGGCUUGGUCUUAAUACGGUCAAGUACUUGACGUUAGCCACAGAAGAAGCACCGGCUAACUCCGUGCCAGCAGCCGCGGUAAUACGGAGGGUGCGAGCGUUAAUCGGAAUUACUGGGCGUAAAGCGCGCGUAGGUGGUUUGAUAAGCGAGAUGUGAAAGCCCCGGGCUUAACCUGGGAACGGCAUUUCGAACUGUCAGGCUAGAGUGUGGUAGAGGGUAGUGGAAUUUCCUGUGUAGCGGUGAAAUGCGUAGAUAUAGGAAGGAACACCAGUGGCGAAGGCGACUACCUGGACCAACACUGACACUGAGGUGCGAAAGCGUGGGGAGCA